CAGCGCUUAAACGAUUGGUACAACGAGAGUUUCAAUUAGGCCACUUGGAGCUAUCACUUAGCCGUUGGAAUACUCCUGUCUUCGUAAUCCAAAAAUCAUCGGGAUCAUUUCGACUCCUACAUGACCUCCGCACAGUUAAUGCCCAGCUUAUCCCCUUCGGCCCUGUCCAACAGGGUGGUCCUUUGCUCUUGGCUAUACCGGAGGGAUGGCCCUUGAUGGUCAUCGACCUCAAGGAUUGCUUCUUUUCUAUCCCCCUUGCGGUGCGGGACCGAGAGGCCUUUGCAUUUAC
rfam:Meleagris gallopavo isolate NT-WF06-2002-E0010 breed Aviagen turkey brand Nicholas breeding stock chromosome 9, whole genome shotgun sequence.